AGGCGCGGGACGUAAGAGAUGCCCAGGUUUCUCGGUGACUCUCCCCGUAAUGCGCGUCCAGAUUCCUGACCUCACGCUGCCACUUCUUCGAGGCAGGUUUCUUGCCAGUGAGGAUGAGGAUGAUGACCUUCAGUAUGCCGAUCAUGAUUAUGAAGUACCACAACAAAAAGGACUGAAGAAACUCUGGAACAGAGUAAAAUGGACAAGGGACGAGGAUGAUAAAUUAAAGAAGUUGGUCGAACAACAUGGAACUGAUGAUUGGACUCUAAUUGCUAGUCAUCUUCAAAAUCGCUCUGAUUUUCAGUGCCAGCAUCGAUGGCAGAAAGUUUUAAAUCCUGAAUUGAUAAAGGGUCCUUGGACUAAAGAAGAAGAUCAGAGGGUUAUUGAAUUAGUUCAGAAAUAUGGGCCAAAAAGAUGGUC
rnacentral:sRNA from 1 species